rnacentral:rRNA from 1 species
UACGUAGGUGGCAAGCGUUGUCCGGAUUUACUGGGCGUAAAGAGCGCGCAGGCGGUCGUUCAAGUCGCGUGUGAAAGCCCCCGGCUCAACUGGGGAGGGUCACGCGAUACUGAUCGACUCGAAGGCAGGAGAGGGUAGUGGAAUUCCCGGUGUAGUGGUGAAAUGCGUAGAUAUCUGGAGGAAUACCGAUGGCGAAGGCGGCAUCCUGGACCAUUACUGACGCUGAGGCGCGAAAGCUAGGGAGCAAACGGGAU